CCUUAUACCAGCAUGUGGUCUACAUCCAAAAUGGGCUGUUGAUCAGAGAGACCUACUAGAUCUCCCAAAAUAAAUGAGACAGACUUCUGUCAGUGCAUCUGAUUACCCACCAGAGGUUAAUGAUAGGAGCUGGACCUGAGGAGAUAAAAGACACAUAACCAUUGCUCAGAGAAUUUUGCAGAAGAGAAAGCAGAGGAACCACAGUUGUGAAGCAAUAUCCAGAGGCAUUGAUUCCCCCCACAUUGACUGAGAGGAUGUGCUGCUGUCUCAUCACACUGGCAAUUUAGUGAGCAUAGAAUGAAUUUGCUGAAAUUGUGAGACAAACAUACUCACUGCUUUCUCGAAAUCACUAGAGAAGGUUCCAUAUGCUGCAGAAAGAAC